rnacentral:rRNA from 1 species
UAACACAUGCAAGUCGAGGGGUAACAGUUAGAAAGCUUGCUUUCUAAGCUGACGACCGGCGCACGGGUGAGUAACGCGUAUGCAACCUACCUUUAUCAGGAGGAUAGCCCCGAGAAAUCGGGAUUAAUACUCCAUAAUGUAACAAAUUCGCAUGUUUUUGUUAUUAAAGUUCCGGCGGAUAAAGAUGGGCAUGCGUGACAUUAGUUAGUUGGUGAGGUAACGGCUCACCAAGGCAACGAUGUCUAGGGGUUCUGAGAGGAUUGUCCCCCACACUGGUACUGAGACACGGACCAGACUCCUACGGGAGGCAGCAGUGAGGAAUAUUGGUCAAUGGGCGAGAGCCUGAACCAGCCAUGCCGCGUGCAGGAAGACUGUUCUAUGAAUUGUAAACUGCUUUUCUACAGGAAGAAAUCAUGCUACGUGUAGUGUGUUGCCGGUACUGUAGGAAUAAGCACCGGCUAACUCCGUGCCAGCAGCCGCGGUAAUACGUAUGGGGCAAGCGUUGUCCGGAUUAACUGGGCGUAAAGGGCACGCAGGCGGUUCGUUUAGUCGAAGGUGAAAUCCCUGGGCUCAACUCAGGAACUGCCUUCGAUACUGGCGAACUAGAGUGGCGUAGAGGAAAGCGGAACUCCUGGUGUAACGGUGGAAUGUGUAGAUAUCAGGAGGAACACCGGUGGCGAAGGCGGCUUUCUGGACGCACACUGACGCUCAGGUGCGAAAGCGUGGGUAGCAAACAGGAUUAGAUACCCUGGUAGUCCACGCCGUAAACGAUGGGUACUAGGUGUCGGGGGUAUCGAUCCCCUCGGUGCCGAAGUCAACGCAUUAAGUACCCCGCCUGGGGAGUAUGGUCGCAAGGCUGAAACUCAAAGGAAUUGACGGGUCCCCGCACAAGCGGUGGAGCAUGUGGUUUAAUUCGACGCAACGCGAAGAACCUUACCUGGGCUUGACAUGCUUGGGACAGCGCUGGAAACAGCGUCUCUCCUUCGGGAGUCCUUGCACAGGUGCUGCAUGGCUGUCGUCAGCUCGUGUCGUGAGAUGUCGGGUUAAGUCCCUCAACGAGCGCAACCCUCGUUACUAGUUGCCAUCAGUUCGGCUGGGCACUCUAGUGAGACUGCCGGUGACAAACCGGAGGAAGGUGAGGAUGAUGUCAAGCCAUCAUGGCCCUUACGCCCAGGGCUACACACGUGCUACAAUGGUCGGCACAAAGGGCAGCCAAACCGCGAGGUGGAGCUAAUCCCAUAAAGCCGGCCCCAGUACGGAUUGGAGUCUGCAACUCGACUCCAUGAAGGCGGAAUCGCUAGUAAUCGCGGAUCAGCAUGCCGCGGUGAAUAUGUUCCCGGGGAUUGUACACACCGCCCGUCAUAUCACCCGAGCCGGGGAUACCCGAAGUCCGUGACCCAACCAUUUGGAGGGAGC